AAAAAAAUGGGUAAAUUGCAGAUGUUUAUUUGCGGAGGGUAUAAGUAACCUCCGUAAUUUGCAUAAUUUCGUAACCCUAAAAUAAUAGGGGCUAAUUUAUUUCACACUCCCUCCAAUUUUUGCCCAAUCUUUUUCACCCUAGAAACUUUCGCCUCAACAAAAUACUCCCACCGCUUCUUCAUUAAUCAAGUUCUUCAACAAAAUACUCCACCUCCAAUUUGAAGAAUACAUUGGUUCUUCCCCCAUCAUAUGAAAGUGUUUCACUUGAUUCAAUAGUCUAAUUUGACUUUUAUUUAGGAGAUCGAUUGCGAGUUUUCCAACUGCAAAAGCGCAAAAUAUUGAUUGAUUUUCAGUUCUUUUGAUGCUAGGGUGCUGUAAAGGUGAUAGCGAAAGAUCUUAUAAGGAUGAGGCAUCAGAUUGAAAAUUUUUACAAGCUUAAAUCCCAACUUCAAGGUGUCUCGCUCAGAAUUCAUGUACUUAUGAAAUUUGUACUUCUUAUUGGUUAGUUCUUCAAAAUUGCUGUUGUUCAUGAGAAUAAGCACCUUGUUAUAUGUGGAUUGUUUGUACCACAAGCUUACUACUUUAUAAAAUUGUAUUCCUUGAUUUUAAUCCUGAACAGUCCCUUUAGUAACUUUUGCAAUUUUGACAUCUAGUUUUUGACUCUACUUCAGGAAAAUUGUUGUAAUAUAUUGGUGUUAAGUAAAUAGUUGUCUACUCACUCUA